rnacentral:rRNA from 1 species
AUUGAACGCUGGCGGCAGGCCUAACACAUGCAAGUCGAACGGUAACAGGAAGAAGCUUGCUUCUUUGCUGACGAGUGGCGGACGGGUGAGUAAUGUCUGGGAAACUGCCUGAUGGAGGGGGAUAACUACUGGAAACGGUAGCUAAUACCGCAUAACGUCGCAAGACCAAAGAGGGGGACCUUCGGGCCUUUUGCCAUCGGAUGUGCCCCGAUGGGUUUAGCUAGUAGGUGGGGUAACGGCUCACCUAGGCGACGAUCCCUAGCUGGUCUGAGAGGAUGACCAGCCACACUGAAACUGAGACACGGUCCAGACUCCUACGGGAGGCAGCAGUGGGGAUUAUUGCACAAGGGGCGCAAGCCUGAUGCAGCCAUGCCGCGUGUAUGAAGAAGGCCUUCGGGUUGUAAAGUCCUUUCAGCGGGGAGGAAGGGAGUAAAGUUAAUACCUUUGCUCAUUGACGUUACCCGCAGAAGAAGCACCGGCUAACUCCGU